GGAAUCUUGGACAAUGGGGGCAACCCUGAUCCAGCGACGCCGCGUGAGUGAUGAAGGCCCUAGGGUUGUAAAGCUCUUUCAGCGAGGAGGAUAAUGACGUUACUCGCAGACGAAGCCCCGGCUAACUUCGUGCCAGCAGCCGCGGUAAUACGAAGGGGGCUAGCGUUGUUCGGCAUCACUGGGCGUAACGCGCACGUAGGCGGACUUUUAAGUCAGGGGUGAAAUCCCGGGGCUCAACCCCGGAACUGCCUUUGAUACUGGAAGUCUUGAGUCCGAGAGAGGUGAGUGGAACUCCGAGUGUAGAGGUGAAAUUCGUAGAUAUUCGGAAGAACACCAGUGGCGAAGGCGGCUCACUGGCUCGGUACUGACGCUGAGGUGCGAAAGCGUGGGGAGCAAAC
rnacentral:rRNA from 1 species